UCGAACAAGUGACACUUUCCUAUCCCGGUCUCACGCCGCUUGCGUAUUCUCCCUACUUCCAAGACUAGUCACAGCAGCACUUAAUGGCUCAGCCAAUCACUGGCCAGAGCAGUGUCUAGUCUUUGCUAGUCUUGCUCCACCACCUCAUCUUGGAAGCAGAGAGAAGAUGAGUAGCAGGGCACCGGGAAUGAGUGUCAAUGGGAGCUGCUGGGGACGAAAGCAGGUUAUUACAGAAUGCAGGCAGAAUGUUAUCUUGAGAUCCAUGAAAAUUGGUUACUACCUUUGGAAGGAAGGCAAGAUUUAAUUUCAAGAUGAUCUCAUCUUCAAGGACGGUCAAAUAAGUGGACGAGGCUUUAAUUUCACCUACUCUUCUGGCUUAGAAGUGUUCCGGCGUAUGGCACCAUCUUGGAGGCGGGACUUCCGGUGGUCAACCAAUCAGGGAGCGUGUACGUGUGACGUCACGGACCUGAGGCCAGCCAGAAUGCAGCCAGGGGAACCAUGAAGCACCCGAGGCCAGCCAGGAAACGGUCCCACCAAAUAAACUCCUGGAGCGCCGCAGAGGACCAGGAGUGGGACCAGAGAGGCACCUCCAAAGAGGCACGAGCUGGUGUGCAGAAGAGGGGGACCCAGCAGUGCCCGACUUGAACUGCAUGGACUCCAAACAAACCUGUCCUGGAUCAUAGAGGUAACAACCUCUCUGUACUGCUGCUCCAUAGUUACAGGAAAACACUUAAUGGGUUGAAGGGGAGGGGCCUUUUUAACCCCUCUGUGCUUCCUGUUCUUAUGUAGGUCUAUGGGGC